GCACCUUUGGCUUAGUGGUUAGAGCGUCCGUCAUGGAUGCGAGAGGUCGUGGGUUCGAUUCCCGGUCGACUUAUACC